CCGGCCCGGAGGCCGGCCUCCCACUUAUUCUACACCCCUCCUCGCCACGCCACGCGCACGCCCGCGCACGCGCAGCCCCGGGGCGCUUGGCACCGUGAGUAGGCGGCGGCCCCCCACACCGGAGGGGACGCCAGACCUUCCCCGCAUCACCGGGUGAGUGAGGAAACCAAUGAGAGUAGUGGUAUUUCACCGGCGGCCGGCCCGGAGGCCGGCCUCCCACUUAUUCUACACCCCUCACGUCUCUUCACAGGGCCAGACUAGAGUCAAGCUCAACAGGGGUUUCUUUCCCCGCAAAUGAAGCGCGGGGAAACGGCGGGAGGGACCUAUGACUCUCUUAAGGUCCCCAAAUGCCUCGGUCAUCUAAUUAAUGACGCGCAUGAGGAUCAACGAGAUUCCCCCUCUGUCCUACCUGCCCCUAGCGAAUCCAAGCCAAAGGGAACGGGCUUGGCAGAAUCAGCGGGGAAAGAAGCCCUGUAGAGCUUGACUCUAGUUCUGGCACUGUGAAGAGACAUGAGGGGUUAUAGAAUAAGUGGGAGGCCCUGGGGCCCUCGGGUCCAGCGGGCGCCUCCGGUGAAAUACCACUACUCUUAUCUUUCUCACUUAACCGGUUGGGCAGGGGGGCGACCCCCCGGCGGGCUCCUGCUUCGGGCGUCAAGCGCCGCGGGGCCCAUCGCGGUCCCGGGCGCGACCUGCCCCGGGGACAGUGGCAGGGGGGGAGGUUGACUGGGGCGGUACACCUGUCAAACGGUAACGCAGGUGUCCUAAGGCGAGCUCCGGGCGGACAGAACCGUCCCGGGGAGCAGAAGGGCAAAAGCUCGCUUGAUCUUGAUUUUCAGUAUGAGUACGGACCGCGAAAGCGGGCCCUCACGAUCCUUCUGGCUUUUUGGGUUUUAAGCAGGAGGGUUCAGAAAUUACCACAGGAUAACUGGCUUGUGGCGGCCAAGCGUUCCGAGCGACGUCGCUUUUUGAUCCCUCCGAUGUUGGCGCUUUUCCUAUCAUUGUGGAGGCAGAAUUCACCAAGCGUUGGAUUGUUAACCCACUAUUAGGGAACGUGAGCUGGGUUUAGACCGUCGUGAGACAGGGUUAGUUUAUACCCUACUGAUGUCCGUGUUGGUGGCAUUAGGUAAUCCUGCUCAGUACGAGAGGAACCGCAGGUUCAGACAUUUGGUGCGUGUGCUUGGCUGAGGAAGCCACUGGGUGCGAAGAGGCUCAUCUGUGGGAUUAUGACUGAACGCCUCUAAGUACAGAACCCCGCCUAAAACGUAACGAUACCGCAGCGCCCCGGGGCUUCGAUUGGCCCCUGGAUAGCCGGCCGGGGUUCGGCCCUCGGUCGGUGCGGAGAGCCAGCCGUGACGGCACCGGGGCGAGGCCGAACGAGCUCCGCCCCUAUUCCGCUACUCACCGCAUGUUUGUGGGGAACCCGGUGCUAAAUGACUCGUAGACGACCUGAUUCUGGGUCAGGGUUUCGUGCGUGGCAGAGCAGCUCCAUCGCUGCGAUCCAUUGAAAGUCAGCCCUCGAUCCAAGUUUUGUCGGCCUGAGGUGC
rnacentral:rRNA from 1 species